UUCGUAGGUGGCUUGCUUAGUCAGACGUGAAAUCCCUCGGCUUAACCGGGGAACUGCGUCUGAUACUGGCGAGCUUGAGUGCAGGAGAGGAACGCGGAAUUCCAGGUGUAGCGGUGAAAUGCGUAGAUAUCUGGAGGAACACCGGUGGCGAAGGCGGCGUUCUGGACUGCAACUGACACUGAGGAACGAAAGCCAGGGAGCAAACG
rnacentral:rRNA from 1 species